rnacentral:rRNA from 1 species
UGGGGAAUAUUGGACAAUGGGGGCAACCCUGAUCCAGCAAUGCCGCGUGUGUGAAGAAGGCCUGAGGGUUGUAAAGCACUUUCAGUGGGGAGGAGGGUCGUUUGGUUAAGAGCUGAAUGAUUGGACGUUACCCACAGAAGAAGCACCGGCUAACUCCGUGCCAGCAGCCGCGGUAAUACGGAGGGUGCAAGCGUUAAUCGGAAUUACUGGGCGUAAAGGGUGCGUAGGUGGUUAGAUAAGUUAUCUGUAAAAUCCCUGGGCUUAACCUGGGCAGGUCAGAUAAGACUGUUUGACUCGAGUAUGGGAGAGGGUAGUGGAAUUUCCGAUGUAGCGGUGAAAUGCGUAGAGAUCGGAAGGAACACCAGUGGCGAAGGCGGCUACCUGGCCUAAUACUGACACUGAGGCACGAAAGCGUGGGGAGCAAACAGGAUUAGAUACCCCGUAGUCCCUGAGCGGGCUGGCAAGGCGCAU